CAAAUUAGAGCUUGUGUAAGUAUUUCAUUUACAUUGAAAAGAAAUUAAAUUUAAUUAAUUUGA
rnacentral:tRNA from 1 species